rnacentral:rRNA from 1 species
GACGAACGCUGGCGGCGUGCUUAACACAUGCAAGUCGAACGGAAAGGCCCUGCUUUUGUGGGGUGCUCGAGUGGCGAACGGGGGAGUAACACGUGAGUAACCUGCCCUUGACUUUGGGAUAACUUCAGGAAACUGGGGCUAAUACCGGAUAGGAGCUCCUGCUGCACGGGGGGGGUUGGAAAGAUUCGGCGGUUGGGGAUGGACUCGCGGCUUAUCAGCUUGUUGGGGGGGUAGUGCUUGCCCAAGGCUUUGAAGGGUAGCCUGCCUGGGAGGGUGACCGGCCACAUUGGGCCUGCGAUACGCACCAGUCUCCUACGGUCGGCAGCAGUGGGGAAUCUUGCGGAAUGGGCGGAAGCCUGUUGCGGCAGCGCUGCGUUCGGGAUGCCGGCUUUCGGGUUGUAAACCGAUUUCGCCUGUGCCGAAGACUGAGUGACGGUAAUGGGUAAAGAAGCACCGGCUAACUACGUG